GAUGAACGCUGGCGGCGUGCCUAAUACAUGCAAGUCGAGCGAACGGACGAGAAGCUUGCUUCUCUGAUGUUAGCGGCGGACGGGUGAGUAACACGUGGAUAACCUACCUAUAAGACUGGGAUAACUUCGGGAAACCGGAGCUAAUACCGGAUAAUAUUUUGAACCGCAUGGUUCAAAAGUGAAAGACGGUCUUGCUGUCACUUAUAGAUGGAUCCGCGCUGCAUUAGCUAGUUGGUAAGGUAACGGCUUACCAAGGCAACGAUGCGUAGCCGACCUGAGAGGGUGAUCGGCCACACUGGAACUGAGACACGGUCCAGACUCCUACGGGAGGCAGCAGUAGGGAAUCUUCCGCAAUGGGCGAAAGCCUGACGGAGCAACGCCGCGUGAGUGAUGAAGGUCUUCGGAUCGUAAAACUCUGUUAUUAGGGAAGAACAUAUGUGUAAGUAACUGUGCACAUCUUGACGGUACCUAAUCAGAAAGCCACGGCUAACUACGUGCCAGCAGCCGCGGUAAUACGUAGGUGGCAAGCGUUAUCCGGAAUUAUUGGGCGUAAAGCGCGCGUAGGCGGUUUUUUAAGUCUGAUGCGAAAGCCCACGGCUCAACCGUGGAGGGUCAUUGGAAACUGGAAAACUUGAGUGCGGAAGAGGAAAGUGGAAUUCCAUGUGUAGCGGUGAAAUGCGCAGAGAUAUGGAGGAACACCAGUGGCGAAGGCGACUUUCUGGUCUGUAACUGACGCUGAUGUGCGAAAGCGUGGGGAUCAAACAGGAUUAGAUACCCUGGUAGUCCACGCCGUAAACGAUGAGUGCUAAGUGUUAGGGGGUUUCCGCCCCUUAGUGCUGCAGCUAACGCAUUAAGCACUCCGCCUGGGGAGUACGACCGCAAGGUUGAAACUCAAAGGAAUUGACGGGGACCCGCACAAGCGGUGGAGCAUGUGGUUUAAUUCGAAGCAACGCGAAGAACCUUACCAAAUCUUGACAUCCUUUGACAACUCUAGAGAUAGAGCCUUCCCCUUCGGGGGACAAAGUGACAGGUGGUGCAUGGUUGUCGUCAGCUCGUGUCGUGAGAUGUUGGGUUAAGUCCCGCAACGAGCGCAACCCUUAAGCUUAGUUGCCAUCAUUAAGUUGGGCACUCUAAGUUGACUGCCGGUGACAAACCGGAGGAAGGUGGGGAUGACGUCAAAUCAUCAUGCCCCUUAUGAUUUGGGCUACACACGUGCUACAAUGGACAAUACAAAGGGCAGCGAAACCGCGAGGUCAAGCAAAUCCCAUAAAGUUGUUCUCAGUUCGGAUUGUAGUCUGCAACUCGACUACAUGAAGCUGGAAUCGCUAGUAAUCGUAGAUCAGCAUGCUACGGUGAAUACGUUCCCGGGUCU
rnacentral:rRNA from 1 species